CACAAAUAACAAAGUGCUGAUAGUGAAGCCACAAAAUGUUAAUAUGAGGUCAUUGGGGAGGAGGAGUAUGGAACUUCUCGGUAAAGCCUGGAAAAGGCCAAAUAAGCAGAGAACACUCAAUUGCUAAAGAACCAAAAGGCAGAUUCCUUGUAGCCACUAUGGUAACAAACCAUUCUCUUCACGGUUGAUAUCAACUACCAAUAGUUGACUGGAUGGUCUUUGGGUGAUUGAAACUCAGUAUCUGCAGAGAGUCUACAUUUCUCCUAACAGAGGUUUGCAUCUAUGGAGACAGUUUGGAAACCUCAAGCAUUAGGAUACUUAUGCUGCUUUUCUCAACACAUUCUGUGAAAGGACACAGUCCAGACCAAGGUUAUGCAAGUGAGAAAAAUAAGAACCAGAAACUAAAAGAAACUAUAAAGCCUAAUUAUGGAUUUUUAAAUUAAAUGUAUUGUUCAGAUUAAUCUGUUCAGAAUCCUUUUUAACAUUUAGAAUUCAAUCAUGUAUAAAUUACCAUGGAUAUUACGGUUCCUGAUUAUAAUGUGAUAUAUAUUCAAUACUAGAUUCAGAAUAACAGGCAAAGCCUUACAGAAAAGGAAUGUAAAUGAGUGUGUGGAUGGUACCCACUGUAGUCUUAUACCUGUCUUCAUAACCUGGAAGUAUGAGAUUAUAUUGGUCUCUGGGAUAUUCUAACCCAAUAUCUGUCAUAAAUAGUUGUAUUUUUAUUCUUGGACUUAAAUUUCUGAAUGUUGAGUUUCAAAUAUGGCUCAGUCGGCUGAGUGUCCAACUUCAACCUUGGUCAUGAUCUCGUGGUCCAUGAGUUUAAGUCCCGUGUCGGUCUCUGUGCUGAUAGCUCAGAGCCUGGAGCCUGCCUCAGAUUCUGUGUCUCUCUCUCUGGCUACCCCUCCCCCACUCAUGCCCUGGCUUUCUCUGUCUCUCAAAAAUGAAUAAACAUUAAAACAAUUUUAAGUUACAGUGAGUAUGCUAAGUGAAAUUAGAGAAAGACAAAUAUCAUAUGACCUCACUCAUAUGAGGACUUUGAGAGACAAAACAGAUGAACUUAAGG